UGAGUCGUUAGCUCAGUUGGUAGAGCAUCUGACUUUUAAUCAGAGGGUCGGCAGUUCGAGCCUGCCACGACUCAU
rnacentral:tRNA from 3 species